rnacentral:rRNA from 1 species
GACGAACGCUGGCGGUGUGCUUAACACAUGCAAGUCGAACGAAGUGGCGAACGGGUGAGUAAUACGUGGGUAACCUGCCCUCCUUUUUGGGAUAAGCCUUUGAAACGGGGUCUAAUACCGAAUAAAGGGGGAUGGUCUCGCGGCCUAUAAGUUUGUUGGUGGGGUGAUGGCCUACCAAGGCGGUGACGGGUAGCCGGCCUGAGAGGGUGACCGGCAACAGGGGGACGGAGAUACGGCCCAGGCUCCUAAGGGAGGGAGCAGUGGUGGAUAUGGGACAAGGGGCGAAAGCCUGAUGCAGCGACGCCGCGGGGGGGAUGAAGGCUUUCGGGUUGUAAACCUCUUUCGCUAUAGAACGGGUAGGUGGAGAAGAAGCGCCGGCUAACUACGUGCCAGCAGCCGCGGUAAUUC